rnacentral:lncRNA from 1 species
AAUGAAAUGGCAAGACACAAGUGGUGUGACCUUUCCCAGUGACCCCACAAACCUUCACUGAUGUCUAUGAAAAUCACAAAAUGAUUUGUGAUGGUGCAGUUGGACCUCUUGUCAAAAGCCAGUGAAGGGGCUGAAUGGAUGCAAGAGGUGGAGCCCGUGCCAAACUCUGGAAAUUAACAUUGCCGUGUAUUCUCAGCAAGCUUUGUCCCCGCCUUCUGCAAAAGCUGUCUUGCUGGUCAGCAGUGACAUCCAUGCUGCUAAAGCCAGUGGAAAUGCUGGGCCUCAUCUUCCUAGAAGCUGCACUUGACCAUGGCCUCCCCAGGCUCUCGUGCCCGCGUUCAGCCCUCACCACCUACCUGUUGGCCAUGCAAGCUCCUUGCACACACCAGCUGCGUCCCACCUGUGUGCCUCUUGGACGUGCCUGGAAGCUCUGUAGUGCAUCGCUGCUCUCCCCCAGUCCUACCUCGGUGCUGCCCAGAGAGCUCCGCCUGGUCCCCAUUCACCUGCUAUCUCGUUCCUCCCAUGCCACAUUUUUUCUCCUUAGCCCUCACUCUCUAGCAUACCCCUGUUAGUUUUGUAUAGUGCCUGUCUCUGCCCACUAUAAUGCGAGCUCUGUGAGCAUAGGGUUUAUCUGUUUCUUUCUUUGCCGUAGGCCCAGCACUAAUAACAGGGUCUGUAUCUGUUUGUGGAAGAGACUUGCUGAGAAAGCAUGCUUUACAAAGUUCUGUGUGUUUACAGCUGUGUCCUGAUCAGCUCCCAGGCCAGUACCUCAUCAUCGUGAGUCUGUUCUACAUGAGAGUCCCGCACCGUCUGAAUGCGCUGUGUCUGGCCUGGAUGCUGCACCCUGAUUCCUCAGGGUAACAGUCAUUCACCUUUGGCUGCUCAGCCUCCAAGCCACACGCCAUGGUCAGCCUCGGCCACUAUCACAGCUGGUCCUGGAGGCUGCAGGGCUCCCUCUCUUGGACCCAGUACUCCCACUACUCCCUCCCCAACUGAUAUGGUUUGGCUGUGUCUCCAUCCAAGUCUCAUCUUAAAUUGUAGUUCCCAAAAAUUGCACGUGUUGUGGGAGGGAGUUGUGGGAGAUAAUUUAAUCCUGGGGGGCGGUUUUCCCCAUACUGUUCUCGUGUUAGUGAAUAAGUCUCACCAGAUGUGGUGAUUUCAUAAGUGGUCUCCCCUUUUGCUUGGUUUUCAUUCUCUCUCGUCUGCGCCAUGUAAGAUGUGCCUUUGGCUUUCCACCAUGAUUUUGAGGCCUCCCCAGCCACGUGGAGCUGUGAGUUAAUUAAAUCUCUUUUUUUUAAAUAAAUU